GAUGAACGCUGGCGGUAUGCUUAACACAUGCAAGCCGAACGGACUCUUCGGAGUUAGUGGCGGACGGGUGAGUAACGCGUGAGAAUCUGGCUUUGGGUUCGGGACAACCACUGGAAACGGUGGCUAAUACCGGAUGUGCCGAGAGGUAAAAGAGAAAUUGCCUGAAGAUGAGCUCGCGUCUGAUUAGCUAGUUGGUGAGGUAAAGGCUCACCAAGGCAGCGAUCAGUAGCUGGUCUGAGAGGAUGACCAGCCACACUGGGACUGAGACACGGCCCAGACUCCUACGGGAGGCAGCAGUGGGGAAUUUUCCGCAAUGGGUGAAAGCCUGACGGAGCAAUACCGCGUGAGGGAAGAAGGCUCUUGGGUUGUAAACCUCUUUUCUUAGGGAAGAACAAAAUGACGGUACCUAAGGAAUCAGCAUCGGCUAACUCCGUG
rnacentral:rRNA from 1 species